GGCGGCGUGCUUAACACAUGCAAGUCGAGCGGAAAGCCCCUUCGGGGGUACUCGAGCGGCGAACGGGUGAGUAACACGUGAGCAACCUGCCCCUGACUUUGGGAUAAGCCUGGGAAACCGGGUCUAAUACCGGAUAUGACCACUGAUCGCAUGGUGUGGUGGUGGAAAGUUUUUCGGUUGGGGAUGGGCUCGCGGCCUAUCAGCUUGUUGGUGGGGUGAUGGCCUACCAAGGCGACGACGGGUAACCGGCCUGAGAGGGCGACCGGUCACACUGGGACUGAGACACGGCCCAGACUCCUACGGGAGGCAGCAGUGGGGAAUAUUGCGCAAUGGGCGGAAGCCUGACGCAGCGACGCCGCGUGAGGGAUGACGGCCUUCGGGUUGUAAACCUCUUUCAGCAGGGACGAAGCUAACGUGACGGUACCUGCAGAAGAAGCGCCGGCUAACUACGUGCCAGCAGCCGCGGUAAUACGUAGGGCGCAAGCGUUGUCCGGAAUUAUUGGGCGUAAAGAGCUCGUAGGCGGUUUGUCGCGUCUGUCGUGAAAGCCCACGGCUUAACCGUGGGUCUGCGGUGGAUACGGGCAGACUAGAGGCAGGUAGGGGAGAACGGAAUUCCCGGUGUAGCGGUGAAAUGCGCAGAUAUCGGGAGGAACACCGGUGGCGAAGGCGGUUCUCUGGGCCUGUACUGACGCUGAGGAGCGAAAGCGUGGGGAGCGAACAGGAUUAGAUACCCUGGUAGUCCACGCCGUAAACGUUGGGCGCUAGGUGUGGGGUCCUUCCACGGAUUCCGCGCCGCAGCUAACGCAUUAAGCGCCCCGCCUGGGGAGUACGGCCGC
rnacentral:rRNA from 1 species